CUUGGGUCAUUAUUUGUUACCUUUUGUCCUUAAUUGAUUUUUGUUAUGGAUCACAUGCGUUGUUUUAACAGUUUCACAGUUCAAAUGAGGUGAUGUUAAGGGAAACCAGGUGAACGUACAUGUACACUUGUAAAUUCUGGAGAAAAUUAUUCAAAGGUUUAACAUUUUUUUAAGGAUGUUCGCUAUUCUGUUUCAAAAUAACAAGCUUUUUAAAAGAAUAUUAUAAAUUGAUAGUAUAUAAAUAAAGGAACUAAACAAGCAGAAAAAAAUGAAGGCUCCGUGUGCCUGUUUUUGAGAUAUAAGCCACUGAAAAUUUGACGAGAACUAAUUUUCUCUAGACUUUUCAUACAUUAAACAUUGGC
rnacentral:lncRNA from 1 species